UACGUAGGUGGCAAGCGUUGUCCGGAUUUACUGGGUGUAAAGGGCGUGUAGCCGGGUUGACAAGUCAGAUGUGAAAUCCUGCGGCUUAACCGCAGAACUGCAUUUGAAACUGUUGAUCUUGAGUACUGGAGAGGCAGACGGAAUUCCUAGUGUAGCGGUGAAAUGCGUAGAUAUUAGGAGAAACACCAGUGGCGAAGGCGGUCUGCUGGACAGCAACUGACGGUGAGGCGCGAAAGCGUGGGGAGCAAACAGG
rnacentral:rRNA from 1 species